rnacentral:lncRNA from 1 species
CUCCCCCCAGAGGGUUCUGGGACCCAGAAUGUAUGGAGCCCUAGCCUCUAGGCAGCCAAACAAGGGUGGGUGGGAGGAAGUAAGCCCCUAAAGUUUGGAGCUGCAGGUAUCAAAAGCUCAGUUCAAAUGAGACCCAGGCAAGAGAGUUAUCCAGGAACAUGCAAGAUGCGCAGAGAGCCCCUUAGGCUUCAGAAUAAGCAAACACAGGCUUCUACUCAGGCUCUGCUGGCAGUGGAGCAGAGCCUGAUUUUAAAGCUGAGCCAGGCAUCCGAUGCCCCACCCCUUAAUACACACCCUGGAGAAGAGAAGGGGCGGGACGAGGGGGAGUUUGUGGGAGGGGGUGGAGAGACAAGUAUGGCUGAGGCAGCCAGGGAUUAACCAAGGAGGAGCAGUAGUCUUGAGGCAGGAGGAGGCAGCCUUGCGGGAGCCUGAGUUCUGGGGCAAAGAGGCUCCCAUCCAGUCAUGCUCUGAGGAAGAGGAAGAACCAUGGAGCAAGAAGAUUACAUCCAAACAGAUAAGGAAAUUGGCACCUAGAAGUUGAAGUAACUUGUCUAAUGCAGCAAGUUAGAGUGAGAAUCAGAGAAGCAAUGUGGGUUUCCUAACUCCCGGACUGAUUUUAUCUGACAAGUGACAGAAGCUAAUUUCAUGUCAAAGUGUUAGUGGCUUAUAAUGAUCUUCUUGGUUCUUCCCUUUCCCAUACCCCUCCGAUUUAUCUUGGAGGAGACUUGUGGAGAUAAUAUUGCUUUAGCCAAAGAGUAAAUACCUAACAAAAGACAUUUUAGUCUCUGAAACAGACUGCUGGGAGAAGCGAAUUUUCACUGUGUUUGAAUUCAGUUGCAUAUGAAUAAUAAUAGCAAUUUUAAUAUUUAUAUCAUGUUUUUAUUUUUAGAUUUAUAUCAUAUUUUAUAAGUAUGUAUUUAUUUUAUAUUUAAGACUAUAUUAUAUUUAUAGUUAUAUGUUUGUGGCAUAUAUUUAUUAAUAUACUUUAUAUAUUUGCUAAUAUCACAUUUUAAGAUGAUAUAUUUAUGUUUAUCAUCUAUUGAUAUCAUAUAUUAUGUAUUUAUGUCACAUUUAAGGCUAUAUCAUAUUUAUUUUAUCUAUCACAUUUGCUUAUAUCACAUUUUAUAUUUAUGUAUUUAUAUCACAUUUUAAGACUAUAUCAUAUUUGUACUUAUAUAUUUUGUAGCUUAUAGCAUUUAUAUUGCACAUUAAUAUAUGUCACAGUUUAAGGCUAUAUCAUAUUGAUAUUUAUAUAUUUUAUAUCAUAUUUAAGGUUAACAAAAUGCUUUCCUCCCCAAAACCCUCCCAAGAAAGAUUGUCUAAUUUUUAAAGUAUAUUUUAAAGGAAUUUUUUUCAAGGAUUAGCUAG